rnacentral:rRNA from 1 species
UACAGAGGGUGCAAGCGUUAAUCGGAAUUACUGGGCGUAAAGCGUGCGUAGACGGUUAUUUAAGUCAGGUGUGAAAGCCCCGGGCUCAACCUGGGAAUUGCAUUUGAGACUGAAUAGCUAGGGUGCGGAAGAGGGAAGCGGAAUUUCCGGUGUAGCGGUGAAAUGCGUAGAUAUCGGAAGGAACACCAGUGGCGAAGGCGGCGUUCUGGACUGUUACUGACACUGAGGAACGAAAGCCAGGGGAGCAAACGGG